rnacentral:rRNA from 1 species
AACUCGGCUGCAUGAAGCUGGAAUCGCUAGUAAUCGCAGAUCAGAAUGCUGCGGUGAAUACGUUCCCGGGUCUUGUACACACCGCCCGUCACACCAUGGGAGUUGGAAAUGCCCGAAGUCAGUGACCGAACCGAAAGGAAGGAGCUGCCGAAGGUGGAGCCGAUGACUGGGGUGAAGUCGUAACAAGGUACC